rnacentral:rRNA from 1 species
CCUACGGGCGGCAGCAGUGGGGAAUAUUGCACAAUGGGGGAAACCCUGAUGCAGCAACGCCGCGUGAGUGAGGAAGUAUUUCGGUAUUUAAAGCUCUAUCAGCAGGGAAUAGAAAAGAAGGUACCUGAAAAAGAUGCGCCUGCUAACUACGUGCGAGCAGCCGAGGUAAUACGUAGGGGGCAAGCGUUAUCCGGAUUUACUGGGUGUAAACGGAUAGUAGCCGGAAAGGUAAGUCAGAAGUGAAAGGCCAAGGCUCAACCAUGGGACUGCUGUUGAAACUGUCAAACGAGAGUACGGGAGAAGUAAGCGGAAUUCCUAGUGUAGCGGUGAAAUGCGUAGAUAUUAGGAGGAACACCAGUGGCGAAGGCGUCUUACUGGACCGAAACUGACGUUGAGGCACGAAAGCGUGGGGAGCGAACAGGAUUAGAUACCCGAGUAGUC